rnacentral:rRNA from 1 species
GGNGCGUAGGCGGAAGUAUAAGUCAGGGGUGAAAGUUUGUGGCUCAACCAUAAAAUUGCCUUUGAUACUGUAUUUCUUGAGUACAUUUGAGGUAGGCGGAAUGUGUUGUGUAGCGGUGAAAUGCUUAGAUAUAACACAGAACACCGAUUGCGAAGGCAGCUUACUAAACUGUAACUGACGCUGAUGCACGAAAGCGUGGGGAUCGAACAGGAUUAGAUACCCUGGUAGUCCACGCCGUAAACGAUGAUAACUAGUUGUUUGCAAUAGACCGUAAGCGACAAAGCGAAAGCAUUAAGUUAUCCACCUGGGGAGUACGUUGGCAACAAUGAAACUCAAAGGAAUUGACGGGGGCCCGCACAAGCGGAGGAACAUGUGGUUUAAUUCGAUGAUACGCGAGGAACCUUACCUGGACUUAAAUGUAGAGUGACAGCUUUAGAGAUAGAGUUUUCUUCGGACACUUUACAAGGUGCUGCAUGGUUGUCGUCAGCUCGUGCCGUGAGGUGUCGGGUUAAGUCCCAUAACGAGCGCAACCCACGUUGUUAGUUACCAGCACAUAAUGGUGGGCACUCUAACAAGACUGCCGGUGUAAACCGCGAGGAAGGUGUGGAUGACGUCAAAUCAGCACGGCCCUUACGUCCAGGGCUACACACGUGUUACAAUGGUCGGUACAGAGGGCAGCUACAUAGUGAUAUGAUGCAAAUCUCAAAAACCGGUCUCAGUUCGGAUCGAAGUCUGCAACCCGACUUCGUGAAGCUGGAUUCGCUAGUAAUCGCGCAUCAGCCAUGGCGCGGUGAAUACGUUCCCGGGCCUUGUACACACCGCCCGUCAAACCAUGGAAGCCGGGGGUACCUGAAGUCUGUGACCGUAAGGAGCGGCC